rnacentral:rRNA from 1 species
UACGAAGGGUGCAAGCGUUACUCGGAAUUACUGGGCGUAAAGCGUGCGUAGGUGGUUUGUUAAGUCUGAUGUGAAAGCCCUGGGCUCAACCUGGGAAUUGCAUUGGAUACUGGCAGGCUAGAGUGCGGUAGAGGAUGGCGGAAUUCCCGGUGUAGCAGUGAAAUGCGUAGAGAUCGGGAGGAACAUCUGUGGCGAAGUCGGCCAUCUGGACCAGCACUGACACUGAGGCACGAAAGCGUGGGGAGCAAACAGG